ensembl:lncRNA
UAGAGCCCCAUAGAGCCCAUAGAACCCCAUAGAGCCCAUAGAGAUCCAUAGAGAUCCACAGAGCCCCAUAGAACCCAACAGACCCCAUAGAGCCCCAUAGACCCCAUAGAGUCCCAACAGACCCCAUAGAGCCCCAUAGACCCCACAGAGUCACAACAGACCCCAUAGAGUCCCAACAGACCCCAUAGAGCCCCACUCUGCCCCAUAGAGACCCCAUAGAGCCCCACUCUGCCCCAUAGAGACCCCAUAGAGCUCCAUUCUGCCCCAUAGAGGCCCCAUAGAGUCCAAUUCUGCCCCAUAGACACCCCAUAGAGCUCCAUUCUGCCCCACAGAGACCCCACAGAGCCCCAUUCUGCCCCAUCCCACCCCAUAGAGACCCCAUAGGCCUCAUUCUGCCCCACAGAGACCCCACAGAGCCCCACUCUGCCUCACAGAGACCCCAUAGAGCCGCAUUCUGCCACAUAGAGACCCCAUAGAGCCCCAUUCUGCCUCAUAGAGACCCCAUAGAGACCCCAUAGGCCUCACAGACCCCAUAGAGACCCCAUAGAGUCCCAUUCUGCCCCACAGAGACCCCAGAGGCCUCAUUCUGCCCCACAGAGACCCCACAGAGCCCCACUCUGCCCCACAGAGACCCCAUAGAGCGGCAUUCUGCCACAUAGAGACCCCAUAGAGCCCCAUUCUGCCUCAUAGAGACCCCAUAGAGACCCCAUAGGCCUCACAGACCCCAUAGAGACCCCAUAGAGACCCAUUCUGCCCCACAGAGACCCCAUAGAGCCCCAUUCUGCCCCAUAGAGACCCCACAGAGCCCCACUCUGCCCCACAGAGACCCCAUAGAGCCCCAUUCUGCCCCAUAGUGACCCCAUAGAGCCCCAUUCUGCCCCACAGAGACCCCAUAGAGCUCCAUUCUGCCCCGUGGUGACCCCAUAGAGCCCCAUUCUGCCCCAUAGAGACCAUAGAGACCCCAUAGAGCCCCAUUCUGCCCCAUAGUGACCCAAAGAGCUCCAUUCUGCCCCAUAGAGACCCCAUAGAGCCCCAUUCUGCCCCACAGAGACUCCGUAGGCCUCACAGACCCCAUAGAGACCCCAUAGAUCCGAUAGCCUCUAUGGGGCGUCCCCCAUUUUCUCCCCUCCCCUACUUUUGGUUAUAGGGCUGAGCUCAGGGUGGCGCUUCCUGUCCCGUUCCCCACUUCCUGCCCUACAACCGCCUCCACCCCAACGGCUGCUGCCCCACAGCUGCCCCCCAAUCUUGUGGGGCGGCCCCAUGGCGCUCCCC